rnacentral:rRNA from 1 species
GCAAGUCGAACGAUAAAGGAGAGCUUGCUCUCUGGAUUAGUGGCGAAAGGGUGAGUAACGCGUGAGUAAGCUGCCCUCAAGUUGGGAAUAAUUCUCCGAAAGGAGGACUAAUACCGGAUAUGGUUUUUGUAUUGCAUAAUAUAUUAACUAAAGAUUUAUCGCUUGAGGAUGUGCUCGCGUCCCAUUAUGUUUGUUGGUGAGGUAACGGCUCACCAAGACUAUGACGGGUAGGUGGUCUGAGAGGAUGGUC